CAAGCAGCAGCCACAGUCGCAGUCGCAGGCAGUCGCAAGCAGAGCAGCAAGCAGUUGCAAGGGCGCCGCCUCCGUCGAUAAACCAUUGGGCCAGCGGUUGACCAUCGCCGUGUUGCUCGGCAAAUUCCCCAAACGCCGCAAUGUACCACUGACACGCCCUCGGCGCUUUUCCAUUUGGGCUAUCUAUCCAUCUGGCCAAGCCAUUGGAGCCAUCCAUCCCCCUGGUCGGACCCAGCCUCACUCAGUUCAACGCACGUGCCUGGUCAUAGACUGGAAAGCUGAACAACUGGAGAGCUGGACAACUGGACAACUGGAUAGCUGGACAACUGGAUAGCUGGUCAACAGGACAACUGAAAAACCACUGAGGUCCUUCCGCAGGCUCACGCACACAGGCGCAAGCAACAGGACUUGUUUAUCGGCAGCCCCUCGGUUGGGCGCCACGCCAAACUGGCCCAUCAAUUUUGGUUCUCCUACCCGCCACCGGGCGCUGGCGGCGGUUCCUCAAGAAUCAUAAAACUAAGGAAUCAAGUCUAACCAAUACGAAAUACAAAACGAAAGAAUACAAAAAUAAUACGAAAUUACUGAAUCAAAUCGUAAACUUUUACCAAAGAACGGAGAUCUCUUCCAGUCUCAGUCUCUCCUCUCUUUCUAUCUGCCUAUAUGUCUAUCUCUCUUGCUUAAAUGACACACUCAGACACACCGCACUCACCUAACUAACUAACUAACUAACGGUACUAAUUCCAUUCCAAUCGUUCCGGUACGCGUCGCGAUCGCGUGUAAUCAAUUGCCAAAUUCGACAAGAAUCGUUGCUAAAAUCUAAUCAAAAUCAAAUUCGACACAACAAGAACAACAACAUCAUCACCACAAGUACAACAUCUGAAAAAAAAAACAUCAAAUAACA